rnacentral:tRNA from 1 species
GUGGAGUUGUAGCUCAGUGGUAGAGUGCUUGCCUCAUAUGUGUGAGGCUCUGGGGUUCGGUCCCCAGCACCACA